rnacentral:sRNA from 1 species
GCCGGGUGCGGAGGUGCACGCCUGGAAUCCCUGCAGCUCUGGAGGCUUAGACAGGAGGAUCACAAGCUCAAAACUAGUCUCAGCAAAAGUGAGGCUCUAAGCAACUCAGUGAGACCCUGUCUCUA